rnacentral:lncRNA from 1 species
GGCAGCUCCUGGCCCACAUAUCGUUUUAUUUAUAAUUGAGUAUGGGCGUAUCAGAGAAGAUGAUCUUGAUUCAAUUAGUUCAUUUUAAAAUUAUUUUGGAGAAAACCUGAAACAGUUCCUUAUUAUCGUUUUUACCCAUGCUGAUAAAAUGAAAGAAGAUGAGACGAUAGAACAAUGGCUUGGAGACAUUUCUGAAUUAGAUAGUUUUGUGAAUGACUAUGGACGACGCUUCUGUUUAAUUAAUAAUGAGGCCAAUGCACGAGACAAAGAACAAAAAUUUUUGUGUCUUAUGAAUGCAAUUGAUGCACUGAAAUUCAAAAAUGGUCUGCUUCACUAUACCGAUGGCGCAUUUAGAUAGAACGAAAACAACA